UAGGGAAUCUUCGGCAAUGGACGAAAGUCUGACCGAGCAACGCCGCGUGAGUGAAGAAGGUUUUCGGACCGUAAACUCUGUUGGUAGAGAAGAACGUUGGUGAGAGUGGAAAGCUCAUCAAGUGACGGUAACUACCCAGAAAGGGACGGCUAACUACGUGUCAG
rnacentral:rRNA from 1 species